rnacentral:rRNA from 1 species
CGAAAGCCUGACGGAGCUACACCGCGUGAGGGAAGACGGCCUUUGGGCUGUAAACCUCUUUUCUCAGGGAAGAAGUUCUGACGGUACCUGAGGAAUCAGCCUCGGCUAACUCCGUGCCAGCAGCCGCGGUAAUACGGAGGAGGCAAGCGUUAUUCGGAAUUAUUGGGCGUAAAGCGUCCGCAGGGGGCUCAUCAAGUCUGCUGUCAAAGGUCGGAGCUCAACUCCGGUUCGGCAGUGGAAACUGGUGGGCUAGAGGGCGACAGGGGUAGAGGGAAUUCCCAGUGUAGCGGUGAAAUGCGUAGAUAUUGGGAAGAACACCGGUGGCGAAAGCGCUCUACUGGGCCGUGAUUGACCCUGAGGGACGAAAGCUAGGGGAGCG